rnacentral:sRNA from 1 species
UACCAUGGACUCGGAUUUGGAUUUCUUCGACUCCUACAGCAUCACUGCCUGCCGCAUCGACUGUGAGACGCGCUACCUGGUGGAGAACUGCAACUGCCGCAUGGUGCACAUGCCAGGUCAGGCCUGGGGCUCCGAGCAUACUCCUGGGGUCCCUGGGCCUUUGCUGCCCUUCACUAGCUCCCCAUCCAUAUCAAUCUCCCAACCCCAGUUCCAGCCCACCCCAUCCCACACCCACCUGGCUCAUGUCUCUCUGACCUCAGUUCCCGCCUGCACCCCCAGGGAUGGGUGGGAAGGGUCUAGAAGGUAUGGACCUGGAGUGGGUUACUUCUGGGGCAGCAUGGGGGCCUGCCAGUCCUCCCUUCCCAUCUUCUCCCAGCUUACACCUUCUAGGCCUUUGAUACUACCACCAUCACCAGACCCCUUGAAUCCCCAUCCUGCAUCAUUGUCUUUUCUCCUCUGUAGGGGAUGCCCCAUACUGUACUCCAGAGCAGUACAAGGAGUGUGCAGAUCCUGCUCUGGACUUCCUGGUGGAGAAGGACCAGGAGUACUGCGUGUGUGAA